GCAUUAAUGGGGUAGUGGUAACCUGGGUCGUUGCCAGUGGCCACCAAUUCAAGUCUCGACCCGCCGGGGGUUCGAUUCCCUCUUAAUGCA